CAGCCGCCGCGGUAAUACGGAGGGUGCAAGCGUUAUCCGGAUUUAUUGGGCGUAAAGAGCUCGUAGGCGGUUUGUCGCGUCUGCCGUGAAAGUCCGGGGCUCAACCUCGGAUCUGCGGUGGGUACGGGCAGACUAGAGUGAUGUAGGGGAGACUGGAAUUCCUGGUGUAGCGGUGAAAUGCGCAGAUAUCAGGAGGAACACCGAUGGCGAAGGCAGGUCUCUGGGCAUUAACUGACGCUGAGGAGCGAAAGCAUGGGGAGCGAACAGGAUUAGAUACCCCCGUAGUCCCUGUCUCUUAUAC
rnacentral:rRNA from 1 species